UUUAAUUCGACGCACGCGCAGAACCUUACCAGCCCUUGACAUCCCGGUCGCGGACUCCAGAGACGGAGUUCUUCAUUCGGCUGGACCGGAGACAGGUGCUGCAUGGCUGUCGUCAGCUCGUGUCGUGAGAUGUUGGGUUAAGUCCCGCAACGAGCGCAACCCCCGUCCUUAGUUGCUACCAUUUAUUGAGCACUCUAAGGAGACUGCCGGUGAUAAGCCGCGAGGAAGGUGGGGAUGACGUCAAGUCUCAUGGCCCACGGGCUGGGCUACACACGUGCUACAAUGGCGGUGACAAUGGGAUGCUAAGGGCGACCCUUCGCAAAUCUCAAAAGCCGUCUCGUUCGGAUGGGCUCUGCAACUACCCAUGAAGUUGGAAUCGUAGAUCGGGAUCAGCACGCCA
rnacentral:rRNA from 1 species